rnacentral:rRNA from 1 species
UACGUAGGGCGCAAGCGUUGUCCGGAAUUAUUGGGCGUAAAGAGCGCGCAGGCGGUCGUUCAAGUCGAGUGUGAAAGCCCCCGGCUCAACUGGGGAGGGUCACUCGAUACUGAUCGACUUGAAGGCGGGAGAGGGAAGCGGAAUUCCCGGUGUAGUGGUGAAAUGCGUAGAUAUCGGGAGGAACACCAGUGGCGAAGGCGGCUUUCUGGCCCGUUCUUGACGCUGAGGCGCGAAAGCUAGGGUAGCAAACGGG